CAAGAAGCAAGCAUGCUGUGGCCAGGGCUGAAAAGAAACACUGGCAGAAGAUCACGCUGAACACGGUGCCGGGACCACGGCGCCGUUCCUCGAGCCAAGAAGGAAGGUAAGGAAGGAGACAUCUGGAUGUCAUCUGUCACAUCACGGACAAUGCGUUCCCUCGGAGCGGUACUUUCCGAGUGGAUUUCUUACAGGAUUGGAAUGAACUGCAAUUCUCAAAAUCAUUUUAUUUCUUUUACAAAUGAUAAAUACUUUGUUCAAAAGAUUUUCUGUUCUGGACUUGAUGAUACAAAAAAAAAGAGGCAUCUUCAUACAAAAAUAUCAGAACUAUAUUAAAAUACAUUAUAUAGAAUGAAGAAGGCACAUGGAGAAUCUGGGACGUUUAAACCAUUGUUGCCGGCAGGACCAGAAAAAACUUAUGUAAAAAAAUAAAAUAAAAAAUGUAAGAUCCUCCUGGCAAAGGAAGGGUUAAACCAUUCCCAGAUGUUCACAGUUCCUUUAAUACUGGUUUUCUUCACCAUGUCCUACUGGAGACCUACAAUAGUCCAUCUUCUGGGGUGUAAGAAAAAAAAAAAAAAGGGAUAUUCGUGGUAAGGCA